UACGAAGGGGGCUAGCGUUGUUCGGAAUUACUGGGCGUAAAGGGCGCGUAGGCGGCGUGGCAAGUCAGGCGUGAAAGCCCCGGGCUCAACCUGGGAACUGCGCUUGAGACUGGCAUGCUCGAGUUCGGGAGAGGAUGGUGGAAUUCCCAGUGUAGAGGUGAAAUUCGUAGAUAUUGGGAAGAACACCGAUGGCGAAGGCGGCCAUCUGGACCGACACUGACGCUGAGGCGCGAAAGCGUGGGGAGCAAACAGG
rnacentral:rRNA from 1 species